ACUUAAAUUGAAGAGUUUGAUCAUGGCUCAGAUUGAACGCUGGCGGCAGGCCUAACACAUGCAAGUCGAGCGGCAGCGGGAAAGUAGC
rnacentral:rRNA from 2 species